CAGUCGCCACGGGAAUACGGAGGGUGCAAGCGUUAAUCGGAAUUACUGGGCGUAAAGCGCACGCAGGCGGUCUGACAAGUCAGAUGUGAAAUCCCCGGGCUUAACCUGGGAACUGCAUUUGAAACUGUCAGGCUGGAGUCUUGUAGAGGGGGGUAGAAUUCCAGGUGUAGCGGUGAAAUGCGUAGAGAUCUGGAGGAAUACCGGUGGCGAAGGCGGCCCCCUGGACAAAGACUGACGCCCAGGUGCGAAAGCGUGGGGAGCAAACAGGAUUAGAUACCCGUGUAGUCCCUGUCUCUUAUAC
rnacentral:rRNA from 1 species